rnacentral:lncRNA from 1 species
GAAGCAUCACGUUGCUGUGUGAGCUAGAGGAAGGAAAAAGAAAACCAAGAACGAAGCAGCUUGUCUUGAAGUAUUGUUGUUCCUUUCAGUCUUGUCAGACUUGCAAGCUGUCCUCAGUUGAAGAGCUGUUCUUUGACCUCACUUAAAUGUUGUAAUUACAUAUUGCUUUCACUCCAAAGAAAAAUGCAAGGUAUCUUCUAACCAGUAUCAAAGUUCUGCCUGUGGCCCUCAAAGGAAGGAAACUGCCAACACAACAUACAUGUGCAUCCAGAAAUCUCAAAAUCAGCAAAAGGAACCUUGGUACAGGUGGAAGCUGAGCUGCUCCAGCGUGGGUGCGAGGACAUAA